UACGGAGGGUGCAAGCGUUAUCCGGAUUCACUGGGCUUAAAGGGUGCGUAGGUGGGUAAGUAAGUCAGUGGUGAAAUCUCCGGGCUUAACCCGGAAACUGCCAUUGAUACUAUUUGUCUUGAAUACUGUGGAGGUCAGCGGAAUAUGUCAUGUAGCGGUGAAAUGCUUAGAUAUGACAUAGAACACCAAUUGCGGAGGCAGCUGGCUACACAAAUAUUGACACUGAGGCACGAAAGCGUGGGGAUCAAACAGG
rnacentral:rRNA from 1 species